rnacentral:rRNA from 1 species
AUUGAACGCUGGCGGCAUGCCUUACACAUGCAAGUCGAACGGUAACAGGUCUUCGGAUGCUGACGAGUGGCGAACGGGUGAGUAAUGCAUCGGAACGUGCCCAGUAGUGGGGGAUAGCCCGGCGAAAGCCGGAUUAAUACCGCAUACGACCUGAGGGUGAAGGGGGGGAUCGCAAGACCUCUCGCUAUUGGAGCGGCCGAUGUCAGAUUAGCUAGUUGGUGGGGUAAAGGCCUACCAAGGAAACGAUCUGUAGUUGGUCUGAGAGGACGACCAGCCACACUGGGACUGAGACACGGCCCAGACUCCUACGGGAGGCAGCAGUGGGGAAUUUUGGACAAUGGGCGCAAGCCUGAUCCAGCAAUGCCGCGUGCAGGAAGAAGGCCUUCGGGUUGUAAACUGCUUUUGUCAGGGAAGAAAUCUUCUGGGUUAAUACCUCGGGAGGAUGACGGUACCUGAAGAAUAAGCACCGGCUAACUACGUGCCAGCCGCCGCGGUAACAC